CUCUGUUGUACAGUCUUGAUGUAACCCUUAACUCUAUGUACAUCUUCUGUUUGUCAUAGGAUCAUGUCAGCUGAACUCAAUUAAUGAAACCAGGAAUGAAUGCCAUCACCCAUCUUGUGAGCUGUUGAGGGAGAACAACCACAGGCUGCAGAGGGAAAAUGAUUCUCUCAAGGCAAAAAUAGCAACAUUGAAAUUGCUGCCAGACGUUUUGCAGAAGAUGGAGGAGUUUCUCCGCUCAGCACCAAGACCAACGACAACACCAAUACCAACACCAACACCAAGACCAAGACCAAGACCAGAACCAACACUAUCACCAGCACCAACAGCAGUUCCAGCACCAGCAAUAGAAGACCCAUCACCAGCACCAGGUCCAU